GGAACCCCAUCAACAGCUGGAGCUCACGCUCAGUGUUUCCAACUGACUUCACUGCACUACACUGAGUACACAGUAACUACUACAAAGAUGAAUACGAUCAAUAGCAAGAAGAAGAAUGCUAAUAAAGAAAACAAGAGAAAAUGGAACAACAUAACGGCAACAACUUUGGUUGAAAUGUGGCAGCAACGACCCUGUAUUUUCGACGUGUCCACAAAGGAGUUCCACGAUAGGGUGAAGGGAUGCAGCCUGGCGAGAAUAAGCCGACGCCCUUGACCUACCCGGUUGGGCUCUACCGGAGAGGGCGAGACUUCGCCACUCUAUUGACAUACCUGUCGAGAAGAAAGCAAGCAACUUCAGCGUCCCUU